UUGGAAAACUGAAAUAUAUCAGUUAGUGUGAAUUCAUACAAAUUAGAGCUGAACACAAAACAAAAUUAUUGCUCUACUAUGACACCUUACUUGGACAAAAUAAACAGAGAAUAAAAAUAUUGUAUUUCAUGGUAGCUAACUAGAUUUAAUUUUGGAAGUUAGUAGUAUGAGAAAAAGCAACUCAGAUUUGUACACCAUAAGCCUUCCCAAGGAAAAAUGAUGCCUUAAGACCUGAAAGUUCCAGGAAGGCAAAGGAAAACCUAGAGCUAGACAGAUUAUGUGUCCAGAUGAAAGGCCUACCAGUCACUCGUUUGUGUCUUGCAUCCUUCAGUAUGAGUGAGGGGCAGAGGACAAAAUGAGAGAAGCCUUGACCUCUUCGUCUAAGCAAUGCCUACGUUACUGUAGAAGCUUCUGGUAAUGCCUACUGUACUGCAGAAGCUUCUGGUGGGUUCAGUCCUCCAGACUUCCACAGACACGUCUGGCAAAAGACAACUACAAACACAAUCACCACCCCAAAACUAAUUACAGCAAAAGGCAAAGGUACUUCUUGACAAUCCCCACUCCCCUGUUCAAAUGGCUAACAUGCAGCACAGUGGAACCUAUAAGGGUCUGUUUUUUUCAUAAACUUACCCACAGAAUGCACUCAGGGAUUGCCUCUUCCAAGUCAUCUUUCUUCUAUAAUAUUUCUCCUGAGAGGUUUCAUAUUAGCUAUUCAAAGCUAUGAAUAUAUAUCAAAAACUAAUCUCACUGUAGCUCAGAGACCCAAAGAAACUCCAGGAGUACAACACUGGCUGUCCUGCAUUCUCACCAACUUAUGGUCUAAAAGGCUUUUGUGCUGUGCUGCAAUGUGUGUGGUACUAAACUGCACUAUUUGUGACUGUUUUUCCCCCCAGCUGUAUAUUAGAAGCCCAAAUACCUGUCAAAUCCAUCAGAGGGCGAAAUCCCUUGGAUUUGGAUGAAUUGUUUUCUGCAACAUCUUUCAAGUGAGUUAAAAAUGAUCAUUUAAGUUGUUAGGAGAACCUAACUACUCAUUUCAAUAAUUUAACAGACUUCUGGUAUAUAGCUAGUACAGUUAUGUUAACAUAAAUCGAAUUGGUCAGAAAGAUACAAAAGUCAUCUAAAAUUAAUAUAUUUUCCUUAAAAUCAAGUAAUACGCAUACUUAAAUCAUUAGAUUAAUAAAUAUAAUUACACUUGUCA
rnacentral:lncRNA from 1 species